UUGCGAAUAAAGUCAUUCAAAAUCAGUAAAAUUUAUCAACUAAGCAAAUACCAAACACACAUAACAUUUACUCAAGUAAGUAUCAAAUUAAUUUCUAAGAAUGUUUAUAUAAGAUAUUUACAAUGAAAACAAUCAUCCAAAAAUCCAAUAAGUAUAACAUACACAUAUAGCAUACAUGUCAAUCAAGCAUAUAAUAUUUUAUGAA
rnacentral:lncRNA from 1 species